AGAGUUUGAUCCUGGCUCAGAAUCAACGCUGGCGGCGUGCCUAACACAUGCAAGUCGAACGAGAAAGUGGAGCAAUCCAUGAGUAAAGUGGCGACCGGGUGAGUAACACGUGACUAACCUACCCUCGAGUGUGGAAUAACAUCGGGAAACCGAUGCUAAUACCGCAUAACAUCGCAAGAUCAAAGGAGUAAUCCGCUUGAGGAGGGGGUCGCGGCUGAUUAGCUAGUUGGCGGGGUAACGGCCCACCAAGGCGAAGAUCGGUAGCCGGCCUGAGAGGGCGCACGGCCACACUGGAACUGAAACACGGUCCAGACUCCUACGGGAGGCAGCAGUGGGGAAUUUUGCGCAAUGGGGGAAACCCUGACGCAGCAACGCCGCGUGGAGGAUGAAGCCCCUUGGGGUGUAAACUCCUU
rnacentral:rRNA from 1 species